rnacentral:rRNA from 1 species
GCUGUGGAUUGUCCUUUGGACAAUGGUAGGAGAGCGUUCUAAGGGCGUUGAAGCAUGAUCGUAAGGACAUGUGGAGCGCUUAGAAGUGAGAAUGCCGGUGUGAGUAGCGAAAGACGGGUGAGAAUCCCGUCCACCGAUUGACUAAGGUUUCCAGAGGAAGGCUCGUCCGCUCUGGGUUAGUCGGGUCCUAAGCUGAGGCCGACAGGCGUAGGCGAUGGAUAACAGGUUGAUAUUCCUGUACCACCUAUAAUCGUUUUAAUCGAUGGGGGGACGCAGUAGGAUAGGCGAAGCGUGCGAUUGGAUUGCACGUCUAAGCAGUAAGGCUGAGUAUUAGGCAAAUCCGGUACUCAUUAAGGCUGAGCUGUGAUGGGGAGAAGACAUUGUGUCUUCGAGUCGUUGAUUUCACACUGCCGAGAAAAGCCUCUAGAUAGAAAAUAGGUGCCCGUACCGCAAACCGACACAGGUAGUCAAGAUGAGAAUUCUAAGGUGAGCGAGCGAACUCUCGUUAAGGAACUCGGCAAAAUGACCCCGUAACUUCGGGAGAAGGGGUGCUCUUUAGGGUUAACGCCCAGAAGAGCCGCAGUGAAUAGGCCCAAGCGACUGUUUAUCAAAAACACAGGUCUCUGCUAAACCGUAAGGUGAUGUAUAGGGGCUGACGCCUGCCCGGUGCUGGAAGGUUAAGAGGAGUGGUUAGCUUCUGCGAAGCUACGAAUCGAAGCCCCAGUAAACGGCGGCCGUAACUAUAACGGUCCUAAGGUAGCGAAAUUCCUUGUCGGGUAAGUUCCGACCCGCACGAAAGGCGUAACGAUUUGGGCACUGUCUCAACGAGAGACUCGGUGAAAUCAUAGUACCUGUGAAGAUGCAGGUUACCCGCGACAGGACGGAAAGACCCCGUGGAGCUUUACUGUAGCCUGAUAUUGAAAUUCGGCACAGCUUGUACAGGAUAGGUAGGAGCCUUUGAAACGUGAGCGCUAGCUUACGUGGAGGCGCUGGUGGGAUACUACCCUAGCUGUGUUGGCUUUCUAACCCGCACCACUUAUCGUGGUGGGAGACAGUGUCAGGCGGGCAGUUUGACUGGGGCGGUCGCCUCCUAAAAGGUAACGGAGGCGCUCAAAGGUUCCCUCAGAAUGGUUGGAAAUCAUUCAUAGAGUGUAAAGGCAUAAGGGAGCUUGACUGCGAGACCUACAAGUCGAGCAGGGUCGAAAGACGGACUUAGUGAUCCGGUGGUUCCGCAUGGAAGGGCCAUCGCUCAACGGAUAAAAGCUACCCCGGGGAUAACAGGCUUAUCUCCCCCAAGAGUUCACAUCGACGGGGAGGUUUGGCACCUCGAUGUCGGCUCAUCGCAUCCUGGGGCUGUAGUCGGUCCCAAGGGUUG